GAUGAACGCUGGCGGCGUGCCUAAUACAUGCAAGUCGAGCGAACGGACGAGAAGCUUGCUUCUCUGAUGUUAGCGGCGGACGGGUGAGUAACACGUGGAUAACCUACCUAUAAGACUGGGAUAACUUCGGGAAACCGGAGCUAAUACCGGAUAAUAUUUUGAACCGCAUGGUUCAAAAGUGAAAGACGCUCUUGCUGUCACUUAUAGAUGGAUCCGCGCUGCAUUAGCUAGUUGGUAAGGUAACGGCUUACCAAGGCAACGAUGCAUAGCCGACCUGAGAGGAUGAUCGGCCACACUGGAACUGAGACACGGUCCAGACUCCUACGGGAGGCAGCAGUAGGGAAUCUUCCGCAAUGGGCGAAAGCCUGACGGAGCAACGCCGCGUGAGUGAUGAAGGUCUUCGGAUCGUAAAACUCUGUUAUUAGGGAAGAACAUAUGUGUAAGUAACUGUGCACAUCUUGACGGUACCUAAUCAGAAAGCCACGGCUAACUACGUG
rnacentral:rRNA from 1 species